GAAACCAACAGGGAUUGCCUCAGUAGCGGCGAGUGAAGCGGCAAGAGCUCAGAUUUGAAAUCGUGCUUUGCGGCACGAGUUGUAGAUUGCAGGUUGGAGUCUGUGUGGAAGGCGGUGUCCAAGUCCCUUGGAACAGGGCGCCCAGGAGGGUGAGAGCCCCGUGGGAUGCCGGCGGAAGCAGUGAGGCCCUUCUGACGAGUCGAGUUGUUUGGGAAUGCAGCUCCAAGCGGGUGGUAAAUUCCAUCUAAGGCUAAAUACUGGCGAGAGACCGAUAGCGAACAAGUACUGUGAAGGAAAGAUGAAAAGCACUUUGAAAAGAGAGUGAAACAGCACGUGAAAUUGUUGAAAGGGAAGGGUAUUGCGCCCGACAUGGGGAUUGCGCACCGCUGCCUCUCGUGGGCGGCGCUCUGGGCUUUCCCUGGGCCAGCAUCGGUUCUUGCUGCAGGAGAAGGGGUUCUGGAACGUGGCUCUUCGGAGUGUUAUAGCCAGGGCC
rnacentral:rRNA from 1 species